UAGCUCAGUUGGUAAAGAAUCUGUCUGCAAUACAGGAGACCCGGGUUCGAUUCCUGG
rnacentral:tRNA from 1 species